UGCAGGUUUGUUUGAAUUCUUUAAUUCUCAGCCACCAGGGCGCGCCACUUUAGCGACACCCUUUCUACAAGAGUAAUAGUCGUUUCUAUAUAAGCCUUGUUUUAUGAAUUAGAUCAAUAUGCGUUAUGAUCACAAAAUAUCCCCCCAAAAUAAGGGGGUAUGUUCUGUGGUUAUGACCCUUACGUGUAGUGCCUCCUCUUAAAUAGGGAUUAUUUGAUACAAAUCAAUACAAAACAUAUAUUGAUCAAGAUAUAGGAUAUUUUGUGAAGUUUAUUGAAGAACUUGAGUUGGAGAUCUCAUAGCCAUCAACAUCUAGCGGUUCUAAAUUAGAAAACAUGUUGGAAUAAAAAAGUGUUUUUGAUGCUAGUACGGAUAGUAACAUACCUCCACAAAUUACUUUAGAAAACGCAUUUUUACAAGUUUCGGCCAAUAGGGAAAAUAAAUUAUUUCUAGUACUUUUUCUUUAUUGAAUCUAAUAGAUAUAUCUAUUUUGGAGGGAGGUUCAAAAUACAACAAAAUAGUGCAGGCUUUAGCGUUUUUUGUUUGCAAUUAUUGCCUUAUAAGGAUUUUUAGGCCUUCUGAAAGUGCUUCAACCUAAUUUUAAGGUACCUACUUAGUGCAGCCCAUUUAAAAAAGAUGACUCACCAAAAAUAUGUAGCUUGUGUAGCUAUAGCUUAUGGCAAUACAUGCAUUAAAAUAUA